UGGGGAAUAUUGGACAAUGGGCGCAAGCCUGAUCCAGCCAUGCCGCGUGUGUGAAGAAGGCCUUUUGGUUGUAAAGCACUUUAAGCGAGGAGGAGGCUACUUGGAUUAAUACUCUAAGAUAGUGGACGUUACUCGCAGAAUAAGCACCGGCUAACUCUGUGCCAGCAGCCGCGGUAAUACAGAGGGUGCGAGCGUUAAUCGGAUUUACUGGGCGUAAAGCGUGCGUAGGCGGCUUCUUAAGUCGGAUGUGAAAUCCCUGAGCUUAACUUAGGAAUUGCAUUCGAUACUGGGAAGCUAGAGUAUGGGGGAGGAUGGUAGAAUUCCAGGUGUAGCGGUGAAAUGCGUAGAGAUCUGGAGGAAUACCGAUGGCGAAGGCAGCCAUCUGGCCUAAUACUGACGCUGAGGUACGAAAGCAUGGGGAGCAAACAGG
rnacentral:rRNA from 3 species